rnacentral:rRNA from 1 species
CAAGGUCUCCGUUGGUGAACCAGCGGAGGGAUCAUUACUGAGUUACCGCUCUAUAACCCUUUGUGAACAUACCUACAACUGUUGCUUCGGCGGGUAGGCCGUCCCCUGAAAAGGACGCCUCCCGGCCCGGACCGGACCCCCCGCGGGACCGGACCCGGCGCCCGCCGGAGGAUAACCAAACUCUAUUGUAACGACGUUUCUUCUGAGUGGCAUAAGCAAAAUAAUCAAAACUUUUAACAACGGAUCUCUUGGUUCUGGCAUCGAUGAAGAACGCAGCGAAAUGCGAUAAGUAAUGUGAAUUGCAGAAUUCAGUGAAUCAUCGAAUCUUUGAACGCACAUUGCGCCCGCCAGCAUUCUGGCGGGCAUGCCUGUUCGAGCGUCAUUUCAACCCUCAAGCUCUGCUUGGUGUUGGGGCUCUACGGUCGACGUAGGCCCUCAAAGGUAGUGGCGGACCCUCCCGGAGCCUCCUUUGCGUAGUAACAUUUCGUCUCGCACUGGGAUCCGGAGGGACUCUUGCCGUAAAACCCCCCAAUUUUCCAAAGGUUGACCUCGGAUCAGGUAGGAAUACCCGCUGAACUUAAGCA